AAAUUAUUCGCCGAGCUUUUUUAGCUAAAUCUUUUUUGGAAUGCUAUUCAAGCCGUGGUUAUAGCAAUAUCGCUUUAACCGCCAGGGUUAACAAGGAAACGCGUUAGCCUCCCUACAUUUGGAAAGGUGAGAUGUUAAC
rnacentral:ncRNA from 1 species